GACGUAGGGCGCGAGCGUUGUCCGGAUUUAUUGGGCGUAAAGAGCUCGUAGGCGGCUUGUCGCGUCGAAUGUGAAACCCGAGGCUCAACUUCGGGCUUGCAUUCGAUACGGGCAGGCUCGAGUUCGGCAGGGGAGACUGGAAUUCCUGGUGUAGCGGUGAAAUGCGCAGAUAUCAGGAGGGAACACCAAUAGCGAAGGCAGCUCGCUGGGACGUUACUGACACUGGAGGCGCGAAAGCGUGGGAGCGAACAGG
rnacentral:rRNA from 1 species